AUGCCAGGUGCAUUUGGAGAAAGAGAAAACUUGGGGACAGAGGAAGAAGAAAAGCCAAUAUUUGCUCUUGGUAUCUGUCUGUUAAAACAACUUAUGCAGAUCACACUGGAAGACCUGAAGAACAGAGAUCUUAUCAAGAUAUACAAGUUGGAUAUCAAAUUUGGCAGCAGUUCUGAAUUUCUUCCAGAGAGGACUAUACUGGUUAAGGAGAUUCAUCACUGAAAUACUGGGAUGAGAACUCUAAACUCUGUAUAAACUUAGAGGCUAACCAUUAUCAUACAUGAUUUGGUAGAUAUAUCUGGUGAUACUGAAGAUUCAUUUUACUUUCCCAUUUUGGCUUUAAUACAUAUGUGAAACCAAACCCUCUCCUCCCAUUUCUACCAUUGUCCCUUCAUCCUAGUUGCUCAUGCCACAGAACUGGAAAUCACUGUAGUUUCUCCUUUUUCUUUUUCUUUUUCUUUUUUUUAGUUUCUCCUUUUUCUUGAAGAGUUGCCUGUUGGGAGACAGUUCUCUAUGGGUUUCUUGCAUUUCUGCUAGUCAAGCAAGGCACUGAGUGCUAUUGUUCUGUAUGAUCUUAACAAGGAUGUUUGUAGAGUGAAGAGCCUUUAAAGAAGUAACAUGUUUUUCUGGAGCAAAAUUCAAAUAUGCUUAUAGUUAUGGAAGACACAGAUAGUGUCUCCUGCCAGAAGAAAGGGCAGGUAUGCUUAAUGCUCAUGCUAAAAGUUUUGGGUUCCCUAAACUCAGAGAUCUUUCCUUAUAAUGCCUUCUACUGCAUAUGCAGAUGUCAUCUGACCCUUCUUUGUGCUGCCUUAUAACCACAGAGACUCAGGGAACUGGCACCAAAAUGCAAAUAUCCUGGCUACUGCUAUUGUUAUGAGUAAUAGAUUCUCCUUUGUCUGACCCUGGAUACUUAUAUCUGCUAUCAGCGUUCAUGAAACUAUGGCAGGCUAAACUGUUAUCUUGAAAGUAGGGUAAAAUUUCCCAUCUUUUACAAUUCUUGACAUUUCCCUCACUUAUGUACCUACCCUUCCCCUAAACUGGGCACUGAAGUAUUUCCCUUUCAGAGCUCUAAAGUUCUUUUCCUUUGAAAUCCAAUUUCUGUAGCUAAUUAAUAACCUCCUAAAGACAAGUCUUGCCUUUCUCUCCUUAAUCAGUCCUCAAUGUUACUGUCAGAAUGAUCUUUCUAAAAUAAUAACUGUAGAUAAUUCUCCUGAUAAAAUCCUGCAUUGUCUUUCCCAGGAAAGUAAUGAUGUUAGGAUAAUUACAAAUUGCAUGGAAUGACAUCAAAGCUUUCAAGAACCACUCCCUUACCUAACACUUCUACUUAACUUCUCAUGUUCCCAAAGUGCAUAUUAUAUUCCAAUCCUAGAGAAAUAUGGAUUCUUUAAAUUCCCAAUACUCUUCCAUAGUCUUGCCUUUGUACAUACUAGAACAAUCCAUCGCACUUCCCAUCCCAUCCUGGCUGGUAAAUCCUUUCCAUCAGUCAGAAGUCAACUAAAGUUCUCUUUUACAAAGAAAUUUUUCCUGACAUCUCACUCCCCAAAAUGAUAUAGAUAUAUAUCUCUUGCUUCUACAAUAUCUUAAACACACCUCCAAAAUUGUAUUUAUAGUAUUAUAUCAUAAUGUUGGCUUAUUCAUCUUCAAAAUUAUAUUUAAUUAUACUUAAUGCUUGUUCAUUAUCUGCUAAAGAAGAAAGCCAUAUCUUGUAUCUUCUAGGUAUCACAUAGUUUCCAGAAAAUGUAAGUGUUCGUUAAAUCCUUUCUUAGAUAUAUAAUUGAGUAUAUAGUGAAUGAGUGAAGCAGAAUGUAGACUUGUUCUGGAAAGAGACAUAUAUCUAAAUUCUUAAUAUGAGGGUUAUUGAUGUAGCUAUCUUUGGUAUAUGCAGAACAUAGAUCAACCUUUCACUACCUGUUGUUUAUAAUAAUUGCUGACAUUAUCCAUAUGAGAAUUAUAAAUAUCAUCAAUGAAUUGACCGUUCAAUAAUUUCUAGGCCUCUGUUGACACAGCUGGCCUUGGUCUAUGUUACUAACUUUAUGCCAAUCAGUUUGAAAAAACUUGUAUUAGUGAUUGCAACAGCUCUACAUGAAAGAAUCCAAGUUGAAUAGUAAAAAUAGGAUCUCCCAGAGUUGCAUUGCCGGAAAU
rnacentral:lncRNA from 1 species